UUUAGCAGAGAUGCUUUAGUGCCUUCGGGAACUCUGAGACAGGUGCUGCAUGGCUGUCGUCAGCUCGUGUUGUGAAAUGUUGGGUUAAGUCCCGCAACGAGCGCAACCCUUAUCCUUUGUUGCCAGCACGUAAUGGUGGGAACUCAAAGGAGACUGCCGGUGAUAAACCGGAGGAAGGUGGGGAUGACGUCAAGUCAUCAUGGCCCUUACGAGUAGGGCUACACACGUGCUACAAUGGCGCAUACAAAGAGAAGCGACCUCGCGAGAGCAAGCGGACCUCAUAAAGUGCGUCGUAGUCCGGAUUGGAGUCUGCAACUCGACUCCAUGAAGUCGGAAUCGCUAGUAAUCGUAAAUCAGAAUGUUACGGUGAAUACGUUCCCGGGCCUUGUACACACCGCCCGUCACACCAUGGGAGUGGGUUGCAAAAGAAGUAGAUAGCUUGACCUUCGGGAGGGCGUUUACCACUUUGUGAUUCAUGACUGGGGUGAAGUCGUAACAAGGUAAGCGUAGUGCU
rnacentral:rRNA from 1 species